UACGAAGGGAGCUAGCGUUGUUCGGAAUCACUGGGCGUAAAGCGCACGUAGGCGGAUGUGUCAGUCAGGGGUGAAAUCCCGGAGCUCAACUUCGGAACUGCCUUUGAUACAGCACAUCUGGAGUCCGGAAGAGGUGGGUGGAAUUCCUAGUGUAGAGGUGAAAUUCGUAGAUAUUAGGAAGAACACCGGUGGCGAGGGCGGCCCACUGGUCCGGUACUGACGCUGAGGUGCGAAAGCGUGGGGAGCAAACAGG
rnacentral:rRNA from 1 species